UACGGAGGGGGCUAGCGUUGUUCGGAAUUACUGGGCGUAAAGCGCACGUAGGCGGCUUUGCAAGUUAGAGGUGAAAGCCCGGGGCUCAACUCCGGAAUUGCCUUUAAAACUGCAUCGCUAGAAUUGUGGAGAGGUAAGUGGAAUUCCGAGUGUAGAGGUGAAAUUCGUAGAUAUUCGGAAGAACACCAGUGGCGAAGGCGACUUCCUGGCCUGUUCUUGACGCUGAGGCGCGAAAGCUAGGGUAGCAAACGGG
rnacentral:rRNA from 1 species